rnacentral:tRNA from 1 species
GCCUUCGUGGUAUAGCGGUCAGAACGCUCGACGCGUAUUCGAGAGGUCCGUGGUUCGAGUCCCAGCGAGGGCA